rnacentral:rRNA from 1 species
AUUGAACGCUGGCGGCAGGCCUAACACAUGCAAGUCGAGCGGAUGAAGGGAGCUUGCUCCUGGAUUCAGCGGCGGACGGGUGAGUAAUGCCUAGGAAUCUGCCUGGUAGUGGGGGAUAACGUCCGGAAACGGGCGCUAAUACCGCAUACGUCCUGAGGGAGAAAGUGGGGGAUCUUCGGACCUCGCGCUAUCAGAUGAGCCUAGGUCGGAUUAGCUAGUUGGUGGGGUAAAGGCCUACCAAGGCGACGAUCCGUAACUGGUCUGAGAGGAUGAUCAGUCACACUGGAACUGAGACACGGUCCAGACUCCUACGGGAGGCAGCAGUGGGGAAUAUUGGACAAUGGGCGAAAGCCUGAUCCAGCCAUGCCGCGUGUGUGAAGAAGGUCUUCGGAUUGUAAAGCACUUUAAGUUGGGAGGAAGGGCAGUAAGUUAAUACCUUGCUGUUUUAACGUUACCAACAGAAUAAGCACCGGCUAACUUCGUG